AGCAUGGUGUAGUGGUUUAAGCAUUAGACUACAACUCUAAAGUCCAGGGUUCAAAUCCCUGCUUAGCCA
rnacentral:tRNA from 1 species